ACGGUUAAAUCAAUUUGAAAACACCGAUUCUCAUUCGAUUCCCGAAGUUAAGCACCUUCGAGCCCGGUCAGUACUUAGAUGGAGUACUGCUUGUGAACACUGUGU